GUUGGCGACCAUAGCGGAAGGGGUACACCUGUUCUCAUCCCGAACACAGAAGUUAAGUCUUCCAGCGAUUUGGUAAGUACUGCCUUAUGGGUGGAAACACCAUGACGUUGCCGACU
rnacentral:rRNA from 1 species